rnacentral:rRNA from 1 species
UACAGAGGGUGCGAGCGUUAAUCGGAAUUACUGGGCGUAAAGCGUGCGUAGACGGUUAUUUAAGUCGGAUGUGAAAGCCCCGGGCUCAACCUGGGAAUUGCAUUCGAGACUGAAUAGCUAGGGUGCGGUAGAGGGAAGCGGAAUUUCCGGUGUAGCGGUGAAAUGCGUAGAUAUCGAGAGGAACACCUGAGGUGAAGACGGGUUGCUGGGCCGACACUGACGCUGAGUGCGCGAAAGCCAGGGGAGCAAACGGG